UACAGAGGGUGCAAGCGUUAAUCGGAAUUACUGGGCGUAAAGCGUGCGUAGACGGUUAUGUAAGUCAGAUGUGAAAGCCCCCGGGCUCAACCUGGGAAAUUGCAUUUGAGACUGCAUAGCUAGGGUGCGGAAGAGGGAAGCGGAAUUUCCGGUGUAGCGGUGAAAUGCGUAGAUAUCGGAAGGAACACCAGUGGCGAAAGCGGCUUCCUGGUCCAGCACCGACGUCAGGCACGAAAGCGUGGGGAGCAAACAGG
rnacentral:rRNA from 1 species